rnacentral:misc_RNA from 1 species
GUUGCUUAUAUUUUCCUGAUCUGAGGCUACUUGUCCGCUAGGUAAUGGGUCAUGAUUGGUGUCAUCAACAUUAGCUGUUUCAAAACUUUCUUGAAUGGCCAAAGAAAGUAGAUCUUCAGAAGAAUCGCGACGAAAUGUGCGUCUACCACGGCGAUUAUCUUGCUCAUUACUUCUUCGAUAUCGAAAACUGGUUGGUAUCUGCAAAGCAGCAUUUCGCUUUGAUCGAGAUAGCUUGC